GACGAACGCUGGCGGCGUGCUUAACACAUGCAAGUCGAACGGAAAGGCCCUGCUUUUGUUGGGUGCUCGAGUGGCGAACGGGUGAGUAACACGUGAGUAACCUGCCCUUGACUUUGGGAUAACUUCAGGAAACUGGGGCUAAUACCGGAUAGGAGCUCCUGCUGCAUGGUGGGGGUUGGAAAGUUUCGGCGGUUGGGGAUGGACUCGCGGCUUAUCAGCUUGUUGGUGGGGUAGUGGCUUACCAAGGCUUUGACGGGUAGCCGGCCUGAGAGGGUGACCGGCCACAUUGGGACUGAGAGACGGCCCAGACUCCUACGGGAGGCAGCAGGGGGGAAUAUUGCACAAUGGGCGGAAGCCUGAUGCAGCAACGCCGCGUGCGGGAUGAAGGCCUUCGGGGUGUAAACCGCUGUCGCCUGUGACGAAGCGUGAGUGACGGUAAUGGGUAAAGAAGCACCGGCUAACUACGUG
rnacentral:rRNA from 1 species